rnacentral:tRNA from 1 species
AGGGUUAUAGUUAAAUUUAACGUUUGAUUUGCAUUCAAAAAAUAUUAGAAAAUUCUAAUUAAUCUUA